GACAGAGGCCCCAAGCGUUAGGCGGAAUCACUGGGCUUAAAGCGUGUGUAGGCGGACGCCUAAGUGUCUUGUGAAAUCCCACGGCUCACCCGUGGAACUGCUGGGCAUACUGGGCGUCUUGGGCCAACUAGGGGCAGCCGGAACAAGCGGUGGAGCGGUGAAAUGCGUAGAUAUGACAUAGAACACCAAUUGCGAAGGCAGCUGGCUACACGAAUAUUGACACUGAUGCACGAAAGCGUGGGGAUCAAACAGG
rnacentral:rRNA from 1 species